UACGUAGGGUGCAAGCGUUAAUCGGAAUUACUGGGCGUAAAGGGAGCGUAGGCGGUUUUGUAAGUCUGACGUGAAAUCCCCGGGCUCAACCUGGGAAUUGCGUUGGAGACUGCAAGGCUAGAAUCUGGCAGAGGGGGGUAGAAUUCCACGUGUAGCAGUGAAAUGCGUAGAGAUGUGGAGGAACACCGAUGGCGAAGGCAGCCCCCUGGGUCAAGAUUGACGCUCAUGCACGAAAGCGUGGGGAGCAAACAGG
rnacentral:rRNA from 1 species